UUAUAGGGGAAAAAAACCCAGUUUAUUUCCAUUUUUCUUGUAAAUACAGGCGGACAUUAAUGCAUCGAGAGAUCUUUUACUGAAUAGUGGAGAAAAUGUAAUGUCUUCACAAGAUGAAAAGAUCAGAGAUGCCUGGAAAAUAAGUUUGGUGAGUUUUCAUAUUACAUUUAAGAAUUAUUUUAACAUGUUAUUUUCAUCUUUUAGUAGAGAUGUCUCUUAAUCUUUUGGGAUUAUGUAUGUACCAUAUUUUUCUUUUCUCAGAGCUGCGUGAAUUCCAGCACUGGUGAUACAAUUCCAUUCUUCUUUAGAGGAGGAGGUUUUGUGUUUAUUUCUGCUUCCUUGGCUGCAAUUGCUUCCUUACCAUACAGAACAUUUUUGUCAUCGUUUUGCCGGCAGGUAUGGGACAAGCCAUUCACUUUUAUUAAUUUGUUUACAUUAAUUUAUUAACUCAAAGUGAUAUUGUGCAUUUAUAAUUCUCAAAUUUUGCAGUUUGUUUUUCAAACAUAUAUUGGUGGAUUCAGUUUGGCAAACAGAAAUUCUAUAAAAAGACCAUUGGAGAAUGAUGAAAAAAUUGUAAGUAUAUGUGGCAGAUUGCAACAC
rnacentral:lncRNA from 1 species